rnacentral:rRNA from 1 species
AGGUAGAUAGGCUAGAAGUGGAAGUGCGGCGACGCAUGGAGCGGACUAGUACUAAUGGUUCGAGGACUUAACCAAGUU